CUUCCAGACUCCUACGGGAGGCAGCAGUGGGGGAUAUUGCACAAUGGGGGGAACCCUGAUGCAGCGACGCCGCGUGGGUGAAGGAGCACCUCGGUGCGUAAAGCCCUAUCGGCAGGGAAGAAACAGACGGUACCUGACUAAGAAGCCCCGACUAACUACGUGCCAGCAGCCGCGGUAAUACGUAGGGGGCAAGCGUUAUCCGGAUUCACUGGGUGUAAAGGGAGCGUAGACGGCGACGCAAGUCUGGAGUGAAAGCCCGGGGCCCAACCCCGGGACUGCUCUGGAAACUGCGGCGCUGGAGUACGGGAGGGGCAGGCGGAAUUCCUGGUGUAGCGGUGAAAUGCGUAGAUAUCAGGAGGAACACCGGCGGCGAAGGCGGCCUGCUGGACCGCGACUGACGUUGAGGCUCGAGAGCGUGGGGAGCAAACAGGAUUAGAUACCCUGGUAUCC
rnacentral:rRNA from 1 species